rnacentral:tRNA from 1 species
CAGAUUGUAGCUAAGACAGAAAAGCAUCUCCUUUACACCGAGAAGUCACCCGUGCAAAUCGGAUCACUCUGAC